ensembl:snRNA U1 U1 spliceosomal RNA
AUACUUACCUGGCAGGGGAGAUACCAUGAUCACGAAGGUGGUUUUUCCGGGGCGAGGCUUAUCCAUUGCACUCUGGAUGUGCUGACCCCUGCGAUUUCCCCAAAUGUGGGAAACUCGACUGCAUAAUUUGUGGUAGUGGGGGACUGCGUUCGCGCUCUCCCCUA